rnacentral:rRNA from 1 species
UACGUAGGGCGCAAGCGUUAUCCGGAAUUAUUGGGCGUAAAGGGUGCGUAGGCGGUUUGGUAAGUCUUGUGUGAAAUCUCCAGGCUCAACUUGGAGUCUGCACGAGAAACUGCCGGGCUUGAGUGUGGGAGAGGUGAGUGGAAUUCCUGGUGUAGCGGUGAAAUGCGUAGAUAUCAGGAGGAACACCUGUGGCGAAAGCGGCUCACUGGACCACAACUGACGCUGAUGCACGAAAGCUAGGGGAGCAAACAGG